rnacentral:lncRNA from 1 species
UUGUGAUCCAUAUCAGCUGCCACUGUGGGGUACCCUAUCAGUUUCUUCUUGCUAGAGGCAACUGCUACUACAAGCUAAUGUCAUAAUAGACUGUCUCUGUAGAUUUCACUACUGACUUGACUAAGAGGACUCAUCAUUCGUUCAGUUUCUUUGCCUUAUCUGGUUUUCAGUUCAUACCGUUUUGGAAAUACAGAUGAAGCUAUAAUUCUUUGCAAAGGGAUUCUUUUUAGAUUAAGCUUACAAUGGUUCAAAUGAGAUCAAUUCUAUAAUCAGCAAUGGAAAGUCCUCUGUUAUGUUCAGUAAUUAUGUAGUGAUAGCAACUUGAGUUGAAAUCAUGUUCAUACUUGAUUAUGGUCUCAUAAGAAAAAGCCCUCGGUGCCUUUUUCAUUUGGUCUCUUUUAAGCUAUUUUUGGUUAAAAUGACAUUUUUUUUCCCGGAGUUCUUAGCAACUUGAUAUCUGAUGAGUAGUGGCUAA